rnacentral:sRNA from 1 species
ACAAAAACAUUAUUAUAUCGAUCUACCAAAGGAUCAAAAAUCCUAAUCAAAUUCAUAUCAAAUUCGUUUCAAAAUCAUAAUCAAAUUUAUAGGAAAAUCAUAAUCAAAUUCAUAUCAUAUCAAAGAUCAAAAAUACAUUGUAUCUCUAAAAUCGUAUCAUAUCAAAGAUCAUAUCAUAUCAAAGAUCAAAAAUCAUAACCCUAAUUGCGUUUACAAGAACCCUAAAAUUGUUUACAAACAAUAACCCUAAUUUUAAUAACCAUCAAAUCCCAAAUUAACUCAACCUAAUUUCGACAGAAUCUAACCCUAAUACUAACAUGCAAAAGGAAACAGAGAGGAAUCUUACCGUUUCGUCUCCGAUUGUCACCAAGUUCGUCUCCGAUUUGGAUCCUCGAUUUCAAUUUGGUUCAAAGAAUCAAUUUUGAUUUGUCUCCGAUUUGGAUCUUCGAUAAUCAUCCCGGUGGUUGAAACAGUCGUUAAGGUGAUAUUUUUGUUGCUGAUUUCAUGAACAAAUCACUAGAUUAACGUCGACGAAGUGAAUUGAUUUUGGUCUCUCCGUCGGCAAACACGAAGAAAAGAGAGAGAAGAAGAAGAAAAAUUAAACGCGUUUUCUAUAUUUUUUUUUUUUUGUCAACUUGUUUACCCAAUCAAAAUUUGCCACGUCAGGAUUUCUAUUGGAUCUCAAAAACCCCAUUUUUGGGAACGAUCCUAAACGGAUUGUUGUGUUUUUCUUUCAUUUGGGCCCAUUUCAUCUUAGAAAUGCUCUAUAGAAAUCCAUUAAAAACCCUUGCUGGACUUGGUCUCACAGCCUAAGUCUUGUGAUACACGAAUCGAAGUAUUCCGUCGUUAAUACCUCCAUACAUGAAACCAUCUUUGUCUUUUGUUUUAAGGUCUCGUAAUCUUUAUGGUUUUGUGCUUUACGUUUUCCAUUGGUUUUUGAGUAUUCUAUCUCUAAUCCAUAAUACUUGUAAAUAAAAUAAAUAAUAUUAUGUUAGAUGUAUUAGAACUUUAUGGUUUCGAAUGGUGCAAGCGGAUCAAGCGGUGCGGAUCAGGCAGAUCAAGCGGUUCAUGCAGAUCAAUUGUGGAUCAAGCGUAUUAGGCGGAUCAAGUAAAAAAAGUGUGGAUCAAACAAUUCAAAAUCUAUGUUGAAUGGUGAAAUGAUAGAAAAGCGGUUUCAGUAGUAAAAAUAAUUACAAAAUAUUGAAAGUUAAUAUU